GACAGAGGGUGCAAACGUUGCUCGGAAUCACUGGGCGUAAAGGGCGUGUAGGCGGGUAGGAAAGUCAGAUGUGAAAUCCCCAGGCUCAACCUGGGAACUGCAUUUGAAACUCCCUUUCUUGAGUACCGGAGAGGAAAGUGGAAUUCCUGGUGUAGAGGUGAAAUUCGUAGAUAUCAGGAGGAACACCAGUGGCGAAGGCGGCUUUCUGGACGGUAACUGACGCUGAGACGCGAAAGCGUGGGUAGCAAACAGG
rnacentral:rRNA from 1 species